UACACACCGCCCGUCACGCCAUGGAAGCUGGGGGGGACCUGAAGCCGGUGGGCUAACCGCAAGGAGGCAGCCGUCAAAGGUCAAUUCAGUGACUGGGGCG
rnacentral:rRNA from 1 species